AGUGAACGCUGGCGGUAGGCCUAGCACAUGCAAGUCGAACGGCAGCACAGUAAGAGCUUGCUCUUACGGGUGGCGAGUGGCGGACGGGUGAGGAGUACAUCGGAAUCUACUUUUUCGUGGGGGAUAACGUACGGAAACUUACGCUAAUACCGCAUACGACCUACGGGUGAAAGCAGGGGGUCUUCGGACCUUGCGCGAUUGAAUGAGCCGAUGUCGGAUUAGCUAGUUGGCGGGGUAAAGGCCCACCAAGGCGACGAUCCGUAGCUGGUCUGAGAGGAUGAUCAGCCACACUGGAACUGAGACACGGUCCAGACUCCUACGGGAGGCAGCAGUGGGGAAUAUUGGACAAAGGGCGCAAGCCUGAUCCAGCCAUACCGCGUGGGUGAAGAAGGCCUUCGGGUUGUAAAGCCCUUUUGUUGGGAAAGAAAAGCAGCAGGUUAAUACCCCGCUGUUCUGACGGUACCCAAAGAAUAAGCACCGGCUAACUUCGUG
rnacentral:rRNA from 1 species